rnacentral:misc_RNA from 1 species
GAUAGAGAAAAACAAGAAAACUGGGUAUUCAUAAAUUCCUUCUCUCUAUUUUUUAUAUAGAAAAAUUCAUGAACUCAUUGUAUCAUGAAACGGAAAUACCUGACGACUGAUUUAUUAAUCAAAUGAGUAUAUUCUUUCUGUUAAUUCAUUUUAACAUGUGUGAGCUGCAAAUCUUACAAUAUAUCAUGCAUAUAUAUUUAUAUUAUAUUCUUUUCCUUUGGAGAUGGGAUACUCCUAUCCAUGUU